rnacentral:lncRNA from 1 species
AGAUUUUUUUCAACUAUUAGCUGGUCAACAAAUACAAAAUAUUAAUUACAGCCAUAAAAUCGUGAAUCUAUUUUAUAUAAAAAUUAUCUUGACAAAAACUUAUAAAAUAAUACUCCAUGUUAAUUUUAUUACAUUUUACGUCAAUACAUUUCAUAUCCAGAAUAAUACAUCAACUACUUUCUUUUUCUAUCUAAACUCAUCAACUAUUAUCGAGCUAUCCGCUUUAAAAAACUUUCCUUGAGUUUUUUUUUUAAACAAGCAUACAAAAGGCAGUACUUGCAAAGUUGCAAUUCAAGGAGAAUGCCAUAUUCUGUGGAAUAAUAUUUUAGAGUUUUUUCUAGAAAGUCUGAACUUUGGAGCCAAAACAAAGAAUUCCAGAAAAAAAAUCCCAAUUAGAAACAGAAAGCUGUUAUAUAUUUUAAUGAUAUUUUGUUUAUAUUUUUAAUUGGAAACAGGCAAAUUUCGCUACUGUUUAAUAAUAUUAAAAAUAUAAUUUUGGAAAAAUCAGAAAUUAGCAAAAUUAAAUGUGCAAUUCAAUCAAUUACAAUAGUAUGGUUAGUUUUGCAAUUGCAAUGUACCUAUUUCAAGUUGAACAAUACUUAGGUUCACCCCUAAGGUGAACCUUGAAAUUCACCACUUUCCUUAUAUCCAAUAAAUUUCCAUAUAUGUAAAUAAAUAAUAUAUAUUAAAUUAAAAAGCUAAAAUAACUUAAAAAAUAACUAAACUCUAAACUCUAAAUCAUAAAUCACUAAACCUUAAUUCUAAACACAAACCCUAAACCCAAAUCCAAAUCCUAUACCCUAAAUUUUAAACCCAAAUUCUAGAUCAUAAACUCAAAUCCUAUACCCAAAUUCUACACCUUAAACCCUAAAUCUAAACCCUAAAUCCUAGACCUAAACCCUAAAUCCUAGACCCUAAACCCUAAAUCCUAAACCUAAACUCUAAACCCUAAAUCCAAACCGUAAACCCUAAACCCAAACCGUAAACCCUAAACUCAAACUCUAGAUCUUAAACUCUAGUUUUGGGUUUAGGGUUUAAGAUCUAAAGUUUGGGUUUAGGGUUUACGAUUUGGGUUUAGGGUUUACGGUUUGAUUUAGGGUUUAGGGUUUGGGUUUAGGAUUUAGAGUUUAGGAUCUAGGAUUUGGGUUUAGAUUUAGGGUUUAAGGUGUAGAAUUUGGAUAUAAGGUUUGAGUUUAUGAUCUAUGAUUCGGAUUUAAAAUUUAGGGUAUAGGAUUUGGGUUUAGGUUUAAUGGUUUAUGAUUUAGAGUUUAGGAUUUAGUUAUUUUUUUAGUUAUUUUAGCUUUUUAAUUUAAUAUAUACUGUUUAUUUAUAUAUAUGGAAAUUUAUUAGAUAUAAGGAAAGUGGUGAAUUUAAAGGUUCACCCCUGGGGUGAACCUAAGUAU